AACUCUUAUAAAGGAACAAAAUUUUCAGUCCAUAAUGUAAAUAGCACUGAAAUAAAAAGACAAAUUGAGUCAAAACAAAUAAAUCAGGCAGAAUGUUCAAAUUAUUCUACAGAGUCUGACAGUGUUUCUGACUAUUCAGAUAAUGAUGAUAUGGAAUUAUCAGAUUCAAAAUCACUCGAUGCCCAAAAUUUAAAUAAAGUCCAAACAAAAAAAAGACAGAAUGAAGUUAACACAGAUUAUCCAACUUCAGUUAAGAAAAAGAAAACUGUUAAUCCAAACAUGCUUGCUGAAACAAGAAUCUCUACUUUUAGUGCCUGUAAUGAAUUAAUGAAUUUAGAUUUAAAGAAACUUCUUGAGCAGUCUUUAGAGGGUAAGGCUGUCCUUCAAAUUUACGAAAAAAAUAAGUGUUUGGAAGAAGAAGAUCGAACAGCUCUUGUAGACAUUAUUGUUAAAUGGCUGCUU